rnacentral:rRNA from 1 species
AGAGAGCUUGCUUCUCUUGAGAGCGGCGGACGGGUGAGUAAUGCCUAGGAAUCUGCCUGGUAGUGGGGGAUAACGUUCGGAAACGAACGCUAAUACCGCAUACGUCCUACGGGAGAAAGCAGGGGACCUUCGGGCCUUGCGCUAUCAGAUGAGCCUAGGUCGGAUUAGCUAGUUGGUGAGGUAAUGGCUCACCAAGGCGACGAUCCGUAACUGGUCUGAGAGGAUGAUCAGUCACACUGGAACUGAGACACGGUCCAGACUCCUACGGGAGGCAGCAGUGGGGAAUAUUGGACAAUGGGCGAAAGCCUGAUCCAGCCAUGCCGCGUGUGUGAAGAAGGUCUUCGGAUUGUAAAGCACUUUAAGUUGGGAGGAAGGGCAUUAACCUAAUACGUUAGUGUUUUGACGUUACCGACAGAAUAAGCACCGGCUAACUCUGUGCCAGCAGCCGCGGUAAUACAGAGGGUGCAAGCGUUAAUCGGAAUUACUGGGCGUAAAGCGCGCGUAGGUGGUUUGUUAAGUUGGAUGUGAAAUCCCCGGGCUCAACCUGGGAACUGCAUUCAAAACUGACUGACUAGAGUAUGGUAGAGGGUGGUGGAAUUUCCUGUGUAG